rnacentral:tRNA from 1 species
CGGAAAUAGCGCAGUGGUAGCGCGCCACCUUGCCAAGGUGGAUGUCGCGGGUUCGAAUCCCGUUUUCCG